GACGAACGCUGGCGGCGUGCCUAAUACAUGCAGGUCGAGCGAGCUUGCCUAGAUGAAUUUGGUGCUUGCACCAGAUGAAACUAGAUACAAGCGAGCGGCGGACGGGUGAGUAACACGUGGGUAACCUGCCCAAGAGACUGGGAUAACACCUGGAAACAGAUGCUAAUACCGGAUAACAACACUAGACGCAUGUCUAGAGUUUAAAAGAUGGUUCUGCUAUCACUCUUGGAUGGACCUGCGGUGCAUUAGCUAGUUGGUAAGGUAACGGCUUACCAAGGCAAUGAUGCAUAGCCGAGUUGAGAGACUGAUCGGCCACAUUGGGACUGAGACACGGCCCAAACUCCUACGGGAGGCAGCAGUAGGGAAUCUUCCACAAUGGACGCAAGUCUGAUGGAGCAACGCCGCGUGAGUGAAGAAGGGUUUCGGCUCGUAAAGCUCUGUUGGUAGUGAAGAAAGAUAGAGGUAGUAACUGGCCUUUAUUUGACGGUAAUUACUUAGAAAGUCACGGCUAACUACGUGCCAGCAGCCGCGGUAAUACGUAGGUGGCAAGCGUUGUCCGGAUUUAUUGGGCGUAAAGCGAGUGCAGGCGGUUCAAUAAGUCUGAUGUGAAAGCCUUCGGCUCAACCGGAGAAUUGCAUCAGAAACUGUUGAACUUGAGUGCAGAAGAGGAGAGUGGAACUCCAUGUGUAGCGGUGGAAUGCGUAGAUAUAUGGAAGAACACCAGUGGCGAAGGCGGCUCUCUGGUCUGCAACUGACGCUGAGGCUCGAAAGCAUGGGUAGCGAACAGG
rnacentral:rRNA from 1 species